UCCUACGGGAGGCAGCAGUGGGGAAUCUUGCGCAAUGGGCGAAAGCCUGACGCAGCAACGCCGCGUGCGGGAUGACGGCCUUCGUGGUUGUAAACCGCUUUCAGCAGGGACGAAAUUGACGGUACCUGCAGAAGAAGCCCCGGCUAACUACGUGCCAGCAGCCGCGGUAAUACGUAGGGGGCGAGCGUUGUCCGGAAUCAUUGGGCGUAAAGAGCUCGUAGGCGGUUCAGUAAGUCGGGUGUGAAAGCUCCGAGCUCAACUCGGAGAGGCCACUCGAUACUGCUGUGACUAGAAUCCAGUAGGGGAGUGUGGAACUCCUGGUGUAGCGGUGAAAUGCGCAGAUAUCAGGAAGAACACCAGCGGCGAAGGCGGCACUCUGGGCUGGUAUUGACGCUGAGGAGCGAAAGUGUGGGUAGCAAACAGGAUUAGAUACCCCAGUAGUC
rnacentral:rRNA from 1 species